ACCAGCAGCCAUUUAACCCUGCAACUCACAACUGGCAGCCCACUGAAGCUAAGCAGGUGUGAGCCUGGUCAGUACCUGGAUGGGAGACCUCCUGGGAAAAACUAAGGUUGCUGCUGGAA
ensembl:rRNA 5S_rRNA 5S ribosomal RNA